rnacentral:rRNA from 1 species
CCUACGGGAGGCAGCAGUGGGGAAUAUUGCACAAUGGGGGAAACCCUGAUGCAGCGACGCCGCGUGAGUGAAGAAGUAAUUCGUUAUGUAAAGCUCUAUCAGCAGGGAAGAAAAUGACGGUACCUGAGUAAGAAGCCCCGGCUAACUACGUGCCAGCAGCCGCGGUAAUACGUAGGGGGCACGCGUUAUCCGGAUUUACUGGGUGUAAAGGGAGCGUAGACGGCAGUGCAAGUCUGAAGUGAAAGCCCGCGGCCCAACUGCGGGACUGCUUUGGAAACUGCCCGGCUAGAGUGCUGGAGAGGUAAGCGGAAUUCCUAGUGUAGCGGUGAAAUGCGUAGAUAUUAGGAGGAACACCAGUGGCGAAGGCGGCUUACUGGACAGUAACUGACGUUGAGGCUCGAAAGCGUGGGGAGCAAACAGGAUUAGAUACCCCUGUAGUC